rnacentral:tRNA from 1 species
UAAUAGCUAGUUUAUAUAAAAUAAAUGAUUUCGACUCAUUAGAUUAUGAUCCACUCAUAGCUAUUAA